GAGAACUUGUGUGAAAAUAGACAAGGUGGAAACCUAAGAACUUUAGGUAGGUGCCCAUUCUGUUCCUAGCUUCAGAAGUUAUUUAUACCUAUGCAAUACCUUCGCUCAGGUUAAAGAAUGGAAUACUAGUCUUGCAUCAAAUAUAUAUUACAUAUCCAUUCGAUGUUUAUCACCAGAAGUUAGUUCUACCUUUGCAGUACCUCUGCUUUACAUACCUCCUCGCUGGUUAAAGAAUGGAAUAUAA